rnacentral:rRNA from 1 species
UACGAAGGGGGCUAGCGUUGCUCGGAAUCACUGGGCGUAAAGCGCACGUAGGCGGAUCUUUAAGUCAGGGGUGAAAUCCUGGAGCUCAACUCCAGAACUGCCUCUGAUACUGGGGAUCUUGAGUCCGGAAGAGGUAAGUGGAACUGCGAGUGUAGAGGUGAAAUUCGUAGAUAUUCGCAAGAACACCAGUGGCGAAGGCGGAUCACUGGCCCGAUACUGACGCUGAGGCACGAAAGCGUGGGGAGCAAACAGG